rnacentral:lncRNA from 1 species
UUUGAUGAGGACUGGGAGCUACUCGGCAAGGGAAAAGAGAAAGGAAAAAAGAAGAAGCUUUUGUUGGUAUUGUAUCUUUUAUCUUAUAAGUUUUUAUUUUAGUUUUGUUUGUAUAUUUGAUGGAAGUUCAUUUUAAUGUGAAAAACAUGAUGAUUUUGUUUUGAUGUGUUAAAUAGUUUGAAACUUUGUUAUUUGAUUUUAUGUUUUGG